UGCAGCCUCUCUGAAUGAUGACAUCAUCUAUUUUGAGGCUUCACCUCAAGUCCUUCCAAGCAGGAGGAGAAAAAGAGACAAAAUUUGAGAUUGCAAAAUACAUUCAACUUGUAACUUCCAGCGUGUACCAGUCAUACAGUACAAUGUCGGGAUCAUAAACAGCCACAGCAACGAAGAGGAAUGACCAAAGAAUGUACUGGUAUCUUUUGGCAGAGAACCCAUGAGUGUGGAAGGGGGUGAAUCUUUUGGAGGUGUUGUGGGCCUAUUUCAAUGAAACACAGAUGAAGGAAGUAGAUGUUUUCAGACUUUCCAGCAACCUUCCCAUCCUAACUGUUGCUGGGUUAAAUGAAUCAUCAGAGAAAGAACAGGAAGAGAAUGGAAGAGACACAUAAACUGUAAUCUCUAGGAAGCUGCAGUAAGAAACGUUUGGAACUUCAAGCCAACGAGAUCAC